CAAAAUCUCAGGUGCAUGAUUUGGAGAAAAAGGUAGACAUGAUUGAAGUUGAGCGGAAUAUCUUGGAGCAGAGAGUAAAGGAACUUCAAGAUCAGCAAACCAUCUCAACAGAGUUACAGGAGAAAGUUAGAUCUCUGACUGAUAGGCUUAAUGCCAAAGACCAAGAAAUUGAAGCCCUAAUGCAAGCUCUUGAUGAGGAGGAAAUUCAGAUGGACGGUUUAACAAAAAAAGUAGGGG
rnacentral:misc_RNA from 1 species